rnacentral:rRNA from 1 species
GACGAACGCUGGCGGCGUGCUUAACACAUGCAAGUCGAACGGAAAGGCCCUGCUUUUGUGGGGUGCUCGAGUGGCGAACGGGUGAGUAACACGUGAGUAACCUGCCCUUGACUUUGGGAUAGCUUCAGGAAACUGGGGCUAAUACCGGAUAGGAGCUCCUGCUGCAUGGUGGGGGUUGGAAAGUUUCGGCGGUUGGGGAUGGACUCGCGGCUUAUCAGCUUGUUGGUGGGGUAGUGGCUUACCAAGGCUUUGACGGGUAGCCGGCCUGAGAGGGUGGCCGGCCACAUUGGGACUGAGAUACGGCCCAGACUCCUACGGGAGGCAGCAGUGGGGAAUAUUGCACAAUGGGCGGAAGCCUGAUGCAGCAACGCCGCGUGCGGGAUGACGGCCUUCGGGUUGUAAACCGCUUUCGCCUGUGACGAAGCGUGAGUGACGGUAAUGGGUAAAGAAGCACCGGCUAACUACGUGCCAGCAGCCGCGGUGAUACGUAGGGUGCGAGCGUUGUCCGGAUUUAUUGGGCGUAAAGGGCUCGUAGGUGGUUGAUCGCGUCGGAAGUGUAAUCUUGGGGCUUAACCCUGAGCGUGCUUUCGAUACGGGUUGACUUGGGGAAGGUAGGGGAGAAUGGAAUUCCUGGUGGAGCGGUGGAAUGCGCAGAUAUCAGGAGGAACACCAGUGGCGAAGGCGGUUCUCUGGGCCUUUCCUGACGCUGAGGGGCGAAAGCGUGGGGAGCGAACAGGCUUAGAUACCCUGGUAGUCCACGCUGUAAACGGUGGGUACUAGGUGUGGGGUCCAUUCCACGGGUUCCGUGCCGUAGCUAACGCUUUAAGUACCCCGCCUGGGGAGUACGGCCGCAAGGCUAAAACUCAAAGGAAUUGACGGGGCCCCGCACAAGCGGCGGAGCAUGCGGAUUAAUUCGAUGCAACGCGUAGAACCUUACCUGGGUUUGACAUGGAUCGGGAGUGCUCAGAGAUGGGUGUGCCUCUUUUGGGGUCGGUUCACAGGUGGUGCAUGGCUGUCGUCAGCUCGUGUCGUGAGAUGUUGGGUUAAGUCCCGCAACGAGCGCAACCCUUGUUCACUGUUGCCAGCACGUUAUGGUGGGGACUCAGUGGAGACCGCCGGGGUCAACUCGGAGGAAGGUGGGGAUGACGUCAAGUCAUCAUGCCCCUUAUGUCCAGGGCUUCACGCAUGCUACAAUGGCUGGUACAGAGAGUGGCGAGCCUGUGAGGGUGAGCGAAUCUCGGAAAGCCGGUCUCAGUUCGGAUUGGGGUCUGCAACUCGACCUCAUGAAGUCGGAGUCGCUAGUAAUCGCAGAUCAGCAACGCUGCGGUGAAUACGUUCCCGGGGCU